rnacentral:rRNA from 1 species
GUCCUAGCUGUAAACGGUGCACGUUUGCUGUGAGAGGUGUCGAAUCCUUUCGUGGCGAAGCUAACGCGUUAAACGUGCCGCCUGGGAAGUACGGUCGCAAGAUUAAACUCAAAGAAUUGACGGGGCCGUGCACAAGCGGUGGAGUAUGUGGCUUAAUUCGAUGCAACGCGAAGAACCUUACCUGGCCUUGACAUGUAUGUAGUAGAAGGGUGAAGCCUGACGAGGUAGCAAUACCAGCAUACACAGGUGCUGCAUGGCUGUCGU